CCUACGGGAGGCAGCAGUGGGGAAUAUUGCACAAUGGGCGGAAGCCUGAUGCAGCGACGCCGCGUGAGGGAUGACGGCCUUCGGGUUGUAAACCUCUUUCAGUAGGGAAGAAGCGUAAGUGACGGUACCUGCAGAAGAAGCGCCGGCUAACUACGUGCCAGCAGCCGCGGUAAUACGUAGGGCGCAAGCGUUAUCCGGAAUUAUUGGGCGUAAAGAGCUCGUAGGCGGUUUGUCGCGUCUGCCGUGAAAGUCCGGGGCUCAACUCCGGAUCUGCGGUGGGUACGGGCAGACUAGAGUGAUGUAGGGGAGACUGGAAUUCCUGGUGUAGCGGUGAAAUGCGCAGAUAUCAGGAGGAACACCGAUGGCGAAGGCAGGUCUCUGGGCAUUAACUGACGCUGAGGAGCGAAAGCAUGGGAGCGAACAGGAUUAGAUACCCUGGUAGUCCAUGCCGUAAACGUUGGGCACUAGGUGUGGGGGACAUUCCACGUUUUCCGCGCCGUAGCUAACGCAUUAAGUGCCCCGCCUGGGGAGUACGGCCGCAAGGCUAAAACUCAAAGGAAUUGACGG
rnacentral:rRNA from 1 species